UACGGGGGGGAGCAAGCGUUGUUCGGAUUUACUGGGCGUAAAGGGCGCGUAGGCGGCCACCGCAAGUCGACUGUGAAAUCUCCGGGCUUAACCCGGAACGGUCAGCCGAUACUGCGGGGCUAGAGUGCAGAAGGGGCAACUGGAAUUCUCGGUGUAGCGGUGAAAUGCGUAGAUAUCGAGAGGAACACCUGCGGCGAAAGCGGGUUGCUGGGCUGACACUGACGCUGAGGCGCGAAAGCCAGGGGAGCGAACGGG
rnacentral:rRNA from 1 species